rnacentral:rRNA from 1 species
GGAUCAAUAUAACGGUCAUGCCGUUGGUAUGCACUGUUAUAAUUGGUUUCUCACCUUCUAAAGAACCGUAAUGCCAUUAAUUUGGUGUCUUGGGGAAUCAGGACUGUUACUUUGAAAAAAUUAGAGUGUUUAAAGCAGGCUCACGCUUGAAUACAUUAGCAUGGAAUAAUGAAAUAGGACGUUUGAUUCUAUUUUGUUGGUUUCUAGGAUCGACGUA